GUGCACCAGGCGAGAAACCUUCGCAAUGCAGGAAACUGCGGCGAGGGAACACCAAGUGCCUACGCUCAGCGUAGGCUGUUCUCAAGCCUAGAAAGCUUGAGGAGUAAGGGCUGGGUAAGACGGGUGCCAUCUGUGGUAGCAGUCAAUAGAUUCGAUUUGUUACUGCAAGGCAUAAGCCGCCGCGGUAAUACCCGCAGCCCAAGUGGUGGCCGCUUUUAUUGGGCCUAAAGCGUCCGUAGCCGGCCCGGUAAAUGCCUGGGUAAAUCGUGGAGCCCAACUUCACGAAUUCCGGGUAGACUGCCGAGCUCGGGACCGGAAGAGGGAGAGGGUACUUCAGGGGUAGGGUGAAAAUUUCCUUUCCAUUAACGCUUUGCGCGAAGCGGAAAGGGUUA
rnacentral:rRNA from 1 species